ACGAUUUUAAUGCGAAAACACUCUCGAGACCACCAGAACCUAAAAUUAACAUAAAAACUCCCAAAAUCAAUAGUAAUCCUCAAUUAAGUCGAACCAACGAAAUCGACAACAAUAAAGAUCCAGUGGUCAACACUUAGCCGCUUUCCUCAAAUGAAUCCAACUACAACUCUGCAAGAGGAGAACCACAUUCCUCGUAAUUCACUACUGC
rnacentral:lncRNA from 1 species